CGGGUGAGUAACACGUGAGCAACCUGCCCUGGACUCUGGGAUAAGCGCUGGAAACGGCGUCUAAUACUGGAUAUGAACCACGAAGGCAUCUUCAGUGGUUGGAAAGAUUUUUCGGUCUGGGAUGGGCUCGCGGCCUAUCAGCUUGUUGGUGAGGUAAUGGCUCACCAAGGCGUCGACGGGUAGCCGGCCUGAGAGGGUGACCGGCCACACUGGGACUGAGACACGGCCCAGACUCCUACGGGAGGCAGCAGUGGGGAAUAUUGCACAAUGGGCGGAAGCCUGAUGCAGCAACGCCGCGUGAGGGAUGACGGCCUUCGGGUUGUAAACCUCUUUUAGCAAGGAAGAAGCUUUUGUGACGGUACUUGCAGAAAAAGCGCCGGCUAACUACGUGCCAGCAGCCGCGGUAAUACGUAGGGCGCAAGCGUUAUCCGGAAUUAUUGGGCGUAAAGAGCUCGUAGGCGGUUUGUCGCGUCUGCUGUGAAAUCCCGAGGCUCAACCUCGGGCCUGCAGUGGGUACGGGCAGACUAGAGUGCGGUAGGGGAGAUUGGAAUUCCUGGUGUAGCGGUGGAAUGCGCAGAUAUCAGGAGGAACACCGAUGGCGAAGGCAGAUCUCUGGGCCGUAACUGACGCUG
rnacentral:rRNA from 1 species